CCUCACCAGAGCGGCCGCCGCGGGCCAGAAGCGGGAGACAGGGCGGCGCUCCUGGGCGAGGUUAUCAGCUGACAAUGGGAGCACGCCUAUUCGACAGCUUCUGGAACAUUUCCUCCAGCAACUCCAGAUAUAUCCAUGGCUGUCUCCAAGGAGCCCACUCUGGGGGACAUGUGAGGUGCCAUCUUUCUUUUCUGAGGGGUCAUCCCCGCCCACUCCCCUGCGAGCUGUGGAGCAGACACCUUCUCCCAUCCCGACCGUGGGUAGACAGCCAUCAUGGACCGUGGGAGACAGGGUUCAAAGGCAUAGAGCAGAGCAGGAGGGCUUCAGACCCCUCCAUUCUGCCCACCCGGACACAGGAAGGCCAUGAGGAGUGUCAGGGAUGCCGUGGACAUGUGUGUCAAGGCCAGAGCCACAACACUCUUGGUGGACCUUCUACUGUAGCCAAGAUACCUGUCCCUCUCUUAAAGGUUCAUCUGUGUUCAGUAGAGAUUCUUUUUCGUGGAUAUUUUACUUUUCCUGAGAUGGAUGUGAGUGGUCCUGGAUAUUCAACGAUAAUCAAACCCCCGAUGGACUGUGCAACACAGAGAGACAAGACCCUGCCUGAGUACAAGUGAGUCACAGCGUUCAAGGGAGACAUGUGAUAACACGGCAGUGCACAGCAGCCGAGAAGAUUCUGCCAGCAGCUUUACGGUGGGGAGUGAGUGACGGACCCGCUGAUGGUGGCCCGGUGAAUUCUCGUCUGUGGUAGCUGCUGAAGUUUGAGCCUGGAGGGACCACCUACAGCCUGACAGCACUGUGGGCGAAGCAGAUGCUGGCGCCGGUGGAGCCCGUGGCAGACGAAGCUCAAUGCGGGGUCUACUCGGCCCUUGCAGCAGGUGGAGCUGUGCAGAAUAUGGGUAUUCAUUCACAUUCUGUGCACACAAACACAUACAUGCACAGACGUGCACAUACAUGUGCACACACAUGUACAUGCACACACGUGCACGCACACACACUCGGUCUAGAAGGAAAACCAUAUGAUGCUGUGUUCUCACCCACUCAAGACCAGGUUGUCAUCCCACACCGAGACCUCCCACUCCCACACCACCCUGGGGCCACCCUCUCUCACUGACUCUGCUGUCUGCUGCCUGUCCACCAACACCCUGCUUGUCCUGUCCCUGCUGAUGCCAUGGGAGCAUUGUGCCUGCCGUGCUCGCUCCCACGUGCAGGCUGGGGUCCCCCCCCACCGUGAAGGUGUCUCCCUCAUGCUCACACCCAACCCCCCACACGACAUGCGUACCCUGUCUUCUUCCCUGGAGGAGUGGAGGUUGGCAUUGGCUGCAUGUGGGUUUCUGAUGGAGAAGCAGCCUCAGGCUGCCCAGUACUGGUGGCCCGCUCAUUGGCCGGCCAUCACAGCCAUCGCAUCUUGUUCAGGCUCACACACAACUCUUUGUGCACUGCUUUGACAAGGGGCCAGGAGGAACCUGCACCAUUGCUUCACCUGCCGUAGGUUCCAGGGACUGUGAAGAGGGCCUCUUCAGCAUG